rnacentral:rRNA from 1 species
GACAGAGGAGCCAAGCGUUGUCCGGAUUGACUGGGCGUAAAGCGCACGCAGGCGGUCGCGCGCGUGGGGUGUGAAAUCUGGCCGCUUAACGGCCAGGCGCCAUCCCAUACGGCGCGACUGGAGUGAUGCAGAGGUCGAUGGAAUUGCCGGUGUAGUGGUGAAAUGCGUAGAGAUCGGGCAGGAACACCCAGGGGGAAACCAGUCGACUGGGCAUCUACUGACGCUGAGGUGCGAGAGCGUGGGGAGCGAACCGG